GCCAGCCGCCGCGGUAACACCGGCGGCCCGAGUGGUGAUCGUGAUUAUUGGGUCUAAAGGGUCCGUAGCCGGUUUGGUCAGUCCUCCGGGAAAUCUGAUAGCUCAACUAUUAGGCUUUCGGGGGAUACUGCCAGACUUGGAACCGGGAGAGGUAAGAGGUACUACAGGGGUAGGAGUGAAAUCUUGUAAUCCCUGUGGGACCACCUGUGGCGAAGGCGUCUUACCAGAACGGGUUCGACGGUGAGGGACGAAAGCUGGGGGCACGAACCGGAUUAGAUACCCGGGUAGUCCCAGCCGUAAACGAUGCUCGCUAGGUGUCAGGCAUGGCGCGACCGUGUCUGGUGCCGCAGGGAAGCCGUGAAGCGAGCCACCUGGGAAGUACGGCCGCAAGGCUGAAACUUAAAGGAAUUGGCGGGGGAGCACAACAACGGGUGGAGCCUGCGGUUUAAUUGGACUCAACGCCGGACAACUCACCGGGGGCGACAGCAAUAUGUAGGCCAAGCUGAAGACUUUGCCUGAAUCGCUGAGAGGUGGUGCAUGG
rnacentral:rRNA from 1 species